UUUGACUUCAAGACAUACUAUAACAAGAAACAAAGAAGGACACUAUAUAAUCAUAAAGGCAGGAAUCCAACAAGGAGAUAUAACAAUUGUACAUAUUUGUGUACCCAACAUGUAAACCCCCAGAUACAUAAAGCAGCUAAUAACAAACAUAAAAGAAGUAAUUGAUAAUAAUACAAUAAUAAUAGAGGAACUUAACACUCCAUUUACAUCAACGGACAGAUCAUCCAAACAGAAAAUCAACAAGGAAACAAUGGCUUCGAA